GAAAAAUCAUUUCAGAUCUAUUGUCGACUUGCUUAAAAGGCUGGUAGAUGUAUACAAGUCUGAUGAAGUGGCUAAGGAAGUUCUAUUCGAUGAGGUUUUCUACCAGAUUGCGGAACAAGACCCAAUAAAUUUACAGUUAGGCUUGGAUCUCCUUCAGGCUAUUAAAAAAGAUAUUGGUCUCCUCCCUUCACGACAAAGUCUUGAUUUCCUCCUCAGUGCUUGUGUCAAUGCCAAAGAUUUACAAGCUUGUUAUCUGAUUUGGAAGGAGUACAGAAUAGC
rnacentral:misc_RNA from 1 species